rnacentral:rRNA from 1 species
GGGGAAUAUUGGACAAUGGGCGAAAGCCUGAUCCAGCCAUGCCGCGUGUGUGAAGAAGGCCUUUUGGUUGUAAAGCACUUUAAGUGGGGAGGAAAAGCUUGUGGUUAAUACCCAUAAGCCCUGACGUUACCCACAGAAUAAGCACCGGCUAACUCUGUGCCAGCAGCCGCGGUAAUACAGAGGGUGCAAGCGUUAAUCGGAAUUACUGGGCGUAAAGCGAGCGUAGGUGGCUGUUUAAGUCAGAUGUGAAAGCCCCGGGCUUAACCUGGGAACUGCAUCUGAUACUGGACAGCUAGAGUAGGUGAGAGGGGAGUAGAAUUCCAGGUGUAGCGGUGAAAUGCGUAGAGAUCUGGAGGAAUACCGAUGGCGAAGGCAGCUCCCUGGCAUCAUACUGACACUGAGGUUCGAAAGCGUGGGUAGCAAAC